GUUUGGAGAGUUUGAUCCUGGCUCAGGAUUAACGCUGGCGGCGUGCCUUAUGCAUGCAAGUUGAACGGGGAAACGGGCUUCGGCUCGUUUUCCAGUGGCGAACGGGUGAGUAACACCUGAGUGACCUGUCCCGAGGUGGGGGAUAACCCUGGGAAACUGGGGCUAAUACCGCAUAACGUGGUGGGGGUGGUGCCCCAUCACCAAAGCCUUCGGGCGCCUGGGGAGGGGCUUGGGGCCUAUCAGGUAGUUGGUAGGGUAAAGGCCUACCAAGCCGAAGACGGGUAGCUGGUCUGAGAGGACGGUCAGCCACACGGGGACUGCGACACGGCCCCGACUCCUACGGGAGGCAGCAGCAAGGAAUCUUGCGCAAUGGGCGAAAGCCUGACGCAGCAACGCCGCGUGGGGGAAGAAGGCCUUCGGGUUGUAAACCCCUUUUCUCGGGGAAGAUAAUGACGGUACCCGAGGAAUAAGCCUCGGCUAACUACGUGCCAGCAGCCGCGGUAAUACGU
rnacentral:rRNA from 1 species